rnacentral:piRNA from 1 species
UGGGUGCCAAGUCUCACCAUGGAGUCUUUC